UACGGAGGGUGCAAGCGUUAUCCGGAUUCACUGGGUUUAAAGGGUGCGUAGGUGGGUUGGUAAGUCAGUGGUGAAAUCUCCAGGCUUAACUUGGAAACUGCCAUUGAUACUAUCAAUCUUGAAUACCGUGGAGGUCAGCGGAAUAUGUCAUGUAGCGGUGAAAUGCUUAGAUAUGACAUAGAACACCAAUUGCGAAGGCAGCUGGUUACACGAAUAUUGACACUGAUGCACGAAAGCGUGGGGAUCAAACAGG
rnacentral:rRNA from 1 species